CAUACAUGCAAGUCGAGGGGCAGCGGGAUUGAAGCUUGCUUCAAUUGCCGGCGACCGGCGCACGGGUGAGUAACGCGUAUCCAACCUUCCGUACACUCAGGGAUAGCCUUUCGAAAGAAAGAUUAAUACCUGAUAGUAUCUUAAGCACACAUGUAAUUAAGAUUAAAGAUUUAUCGGUGUACGAUGGGGAUGCGUUCCAUUAGGUAGUAGGCGGGGUAACGGCCCACCUAGCCAACGAUGGAUAGGGGUUCUGAGAGGAAGGUCCCCCACAUUGGAACUGAGACACCGUCCAAACUCCUACGGGAGGCAGCAGUGAGGAAUAUUGGUCAAUGGACGGGAGUCUGAACCAGCCAAGUAGCGUGAAGGAUGAAGG
rnacentral:rRNA from 1 species